CUGCUUACUGAGAAAACUGAUCAGUGGUGUUAAUUCUUGAAUAUUUUGAGUUCAUUUCGAUGAAACUAAUGCUCUUUUUGCCCGAUCAUACAAAAAUACUUGUUCUUUAUUACCGUGUUUUCAGACAUAAUUGUUCUUGUUCUUUAUACUGUCUAGUCUUGUUCUUUAUACUUGUUCUUUACGGAGAUCGCUAUAUUUGUGUUGCUGCUUUCUCCUUUGUCCUGCUGUAAUCACAGCACAGACAAGUGGCUCUUGUAUGAGGAUUGACUUUCUACUAUAUCUGGUGUUGAGCAUGAGGACUGACUGAUUUUGCUGGGUCCCCACUGUUGCUUCACUAUCAGUAGUAGCUUCUAGUGCAGCAGAAUACACUGGAAAUUCAGUUUCCCCAUUCUGCAUCAGAUUGUUGAAAGGGAUAUUCUAACUGAAAAGGUAACUGGUUAGAAUUGAUAAAGAUGUUGACUCAUUUUUUCUUGCUUAAAUUGAUUCAGCUGUUGCAUCCUUUUGUAUUGCUUAAUUAAUCUACACAGGAGAGGUUUCCCUAGUUCUAUAUGAUACAAUACACCUGCUCUAGCUUUCAUCGAAUGUUACAGUUUAUUGUAUCGUUUUUGUUUAACAAGCACCAUCAUGCCCAGUAAAAUUGCAUGUUGUUUCAAGAUUACUGCACAAUUUAAAAUAUCACUGUAUUUAGAAAUUAACAGCUCAAUUUCUUGUUGGUGGACCGAGGUACAAUUUCUAUUACUGAUGCAAAGAUGAGGCUCUUGGCAAAUGCACUACAAGUUGACGAUAACCAGCACUUUGUUUUGCUCUCUGAGAGGUUGUUCAUUUCCUUUCUCCCCGUCUAAAUUUGUAGUGUAUAUUUCUACCCUGUCACCUGAUGUUCUCUACAUACUACAGCUGUGUACCCCUGCAAAACUUCUACAGUAUUACUUAUAUGAUUAUUAUCUCAUGGAAACAAACAUCAUCUUUGUUGACCAGUUAGUGAACACCUAGAAGGUUAUGUUGCUCAUGAUUUUGUACAGAAAGAAGAUAUUUUUUCUAUUAGGAGUCAAAGAAAUGCUGACACCUAUAGUAUUGUACGAAACAACGUGGUCUCUCCAGCGAUGGACAUGCCUAAAUUAUUAUUUUCCAGUUCAGAACGAUGAGCAGGUAGAUACUCUCAACAUAUGUUACCUAAGAUGAUUAUAAGAGAGAUUUGAGAAAGUGAGAGGUCCAUCUAUUCUGAAUAGUUCAUUAGACAUGAUCAUAUAUGGUACCCAAUGGUGCCAAGAGAGAUGAUUUAGUCAAUGGUGCUGUCAGGACAUGUUUAUCCUGAUUUUGCUCUGUUAUAUAUGGUACGCAAUGUGCCAACCUUGCAUGGAGUUGCUUGACCGUUAGUUUUGUAAAAUUAUUGUCUACAGGAGAACAUUGCCCAUGCUGCUCAGUCCUCACGUAUUUUAAAGCUUUCCAACAGAUUUCAUAUGUUAUUUUGCAUGGAAUAUCAGUCACCUAUGUUUAUAUAAUUCAAAUGGUCAGAAAAUUACAAAAGAAUUACAGAACCCCAACUGGUUUCUUUUCUUGAUCAAUGGUACUACCAAGCAAUUUUUUUUUACUGAUUUUUUGGGUCUGCAUUUUACUUCAUCAGAAAGGGAACUAACUUAAUAUUGUUGUUCUUGAUGCCAACCCGUGACCUAACUUAUAUGCUACUGAGAACUAGAUUAUAGUGUUCCAGUUAACCUUUUGGUUUGUGAAGUUUAGUUGCGCUUCUUCUUUAUACUGUCUGGAUGCUGGUCUUGGUCUUGUUCAAUAGGGAGAUCGCUAUAUUUGUGUUGCUGCUUUUUCCUUUUUCCUGCUGUAAUCACACCAAGUGUAAGUAGAUUAAUGCAGGAAAUUACAAUAUCUGGUGUUACACAUGAGGGCUGAGUGAUUUGCUCGGAUUGUUGAAAGGGAUAUUCUAAGUGAAAAGGUAACUGGUUAGAAUUGAUAAAGAUGUUGACUCAUUUUUUCUUGCUUAAAUUGACCCAGCUGUUGCAUCCUUUUGUAUUGCUUAAUUAAUCUACACAAGAGAGGUUUCCCUAGUUCUAUAUGAUACAAUACACCCAUUCUAGCAUUCAUCGAAUGUUCCAGUUUGUUGUAUCGUUUUUGUUUAACAAGCACAAUUUAACAUAUCAGUUUAUCAAGAAGGUAACAGCUCAAUUUUCCUGUAGGUGGACUGAGGUACAAUUUCUAAUAUUGAUGCAGAGAGGAGGCUCUUGGCAAAUGCACUACAAGUUGAUGAUAACCAGCAUUUUGGUUUGCUCCCUGAGAGGUUGUUCAUUUCCUUUCUCCUCGUCUAAAUUUAAAGUGUAUAUCUCCUAGAAGGUUAUGUGCUCAUGAUUUUGUACAGAAAAGUUAUUUUUUUCUUUUUAUAGUUGAACAAAUGCCCGUUAGAGGAUCUAACUUAAUAUUGUUGUUGUUGAUUCCAAUCCAUGACCUAACUUUAGCACCAGCUGAUGACCAUUUAUAUGCUACUGAGAACUAGUAGAUUAUAGUGUUCCAGUUAGCCUUUUGGCUUGUGAAAUUUAGUUGCACUUUAUAAGAAUAUAAGAACAUGAACAACUAUUGCUUAAUCCCUAAUUCAUUUUGUUUUUCAUUCAUGCUAUCCACUAUAUGUGUUUAAAGUCUUCUUAUCAAUUCACCAUGGUUGAUGAAUAUGUUGGACUGUUGGACUUUCCUGAGCUUCUGUGGUCUUGGCCGUGUCUUCAUGCUCAUGCAGUCGCAUUAUGUUGGACUGUUGGACUGUUGGACUCACGUGAAAAACUAAAUACAUGUUACAGCAUUUGAUGAUCGCUAUUUAUCGUGACAGGAAUAUGUGAAUGUCUCCCCUUCCAGAAAAACAUAGGAGCGCAAAUGACCGCACAUGAGGCGUGCCAACUUAUAAUGGAAGUCAUGCCGUGAGGCGAAUUCCAUGCCAACCGUGCUGUGUGUAUAUGUGAAAAGACUGACUGAACUUCAGUACUCAAAUAGAAUCCUGGUAAGAACCAGCUCGUUGGUGAACUUUGCGGAUCUGCGGAUGGAUCUGACACCCACAGGGACAGGGAAAGAGAUGAUCACUGAAGGUGACACUGCUACAGGAGAGGAAUUCCGAAGAUGAUCCAACUGUGGUACAAGAGAUGAUUCUUUGAUCAGAUAAGAGGUUUCUGAGCUGGAGUAUAGAUCCUGAUUAGUUGAAUUAUCUUGCAGCUCAAAGGAAUUAUUUGCAUACAAGUGUUGUACGUGGUAUACCAGCUAUUAAGAGAAUCUCCUCUGUUUUAUGGAUUUCGGUGUAAGCAUGAAACUGUACUUCUUACUACGUACUAUAUUUUACAAGCAAUUUGACAUAAUAGCAUGCUUUUCUCCGUACCUUGAUGAAAUAGCACAUCUUUCUUUUUGUUCGAUUUUAAUGGCACACUUUUCC
rnacentral:lncRNA from 1 species